CUUACGGGCUGCUUACCAUGCAGUCGACGUGAAGGGGCUUCGGCCCUGAGUAAAGUGGCGCACGGGUGAGUAACGCGUGGAUAAUCUACCCGACGAUCUGGGAUAACAUCUCGAAAGGGGUGCUAAUACCGGAUAAGCCCACGGGGGCUCAGGCUCUUGCGGGAAAAGGGGGGGACCUUCGGGCCUUCUGUCGUCGGAUGAGUCCGCGUACCAUUAGCUAGUUGGUGGGGUAAAGGCCUACCAAGGCGACGAUGGUUAGCUGGUCUGAGAGGAUGAUCAGCCUCACUGGAACUGAGACACGGUCCAGACUCCUACGGGAGGCAGCAGUGGGGAAUUUUGCGCAAUGGGGGAAACCCUGACGCAGCAACGCCGCGUGAGUGAUGAAGGCCUUCGGGUCGUAAAGCUCUGUCAAGAGGGAAGAACUGUGGGCGGCUAAUAUCCGUACCACUUGACGGUACCUCUGGAGGAAGCACCGGCUAACUCCGUGCCAGCAGCCGCGGUAAUACGGAGGGUGCGAGCGUUGUUCGGAAUUAUUGGGCGUAAAGCGCGUGUAGGCGGUCUUGUAAGUCUGAUGUGAAAGCCCCGGGCUCAACCUGGGAAGUGCAUUGGAAACUGUGAGACUUGAGUACGGGAGAGGGCAGUGGAAUUCCUAGUGUAGGAGUGAAAUCCGUAGGUAUUAGGAGGAACACCGGUGGCGAAGGCGGCUGCCUGGACCGAUACUGACGCUGAGACGCGAAAGCGUGGGGAGCAAACAGGAUUAGAUACCCUGGUAGUCCACGCCGUAAACGAUGAGUACUAGGUGUUGCGGGUAUUGACCCCUGCAGUGCCGCAGCUAACGCAUUAAGUACUCCGCCUGGGAAGUACGGUCGCAAGACUAAAACUCAAAGGAAUUGACAG
rnacentral:rRNA from 1 species